CUCCCUCGUUGCUGACCCCAGGUUCGAUAGUGCCAAUGAGACACAACCUCGCCAAGAACCAACUUCGAUGAAGCGACGGGCGGUGUGUGCAAGG
rnacentral:rRNA from 1 species